GACGAACGCUGGCGGCGUGCCUAACACAUGCAAGUCGAACGGAGAUUAUUGAUGAAGCUUGCGAUUUAAUAAUCUUAGUGGCGGACGGGUGAGUAACGCGUGGGUAACCUGCCCAUAAGAGGGGGAUAACAGCUGGAAACGGCUGCUAAUACCGCAUACGCUUUCCGGGACACAAGUGCCGGAAAGGAAAGAUGGCCUCUACAUGUAAGCUAUCACUUAUGGAUGGACCCGCGUCUGAUUAGCUAGUUGGUGGGGUAGAAGCCUACCAAGGCGACGAUCAGUAGCCGGCCUGAGAGGGUGGACGGCCACACUGGGACUGAGACACGGCCCAGACUCCUACGGGAGGCAGCAGUGGGGGAUAUUGGGCAAUGGGGGAAACCCUGACCCAGCAACGCCGCGUGAAGGACGAAGGCCUUCGGGUUGGUUAAACGUUACUUUGUAUCAGGGACGAAACGAAAUAGACGGUACCUCGUAGGAACAAGACCACGGCUAACUACGUGCCACGCAGCCGCGGAGUACGU
rnacentral:rRNA from 1 species